rnacentral:rRNA from 1 species
AUUGAACGCUGGCGGCAUGCCUUACACAUGCAAGUCGAACGGUAACGCGGGGCAACCUGGCGACGAGUGGCGAACGGGUGAGUAAUACAUCGGAACGUGCCCAGUAGUGGGGGAUAGCCCGGCGAAAGCCGGAUUAAUACCGCAUACGACCUACGGGUGAAAGCAGGGGAUCGCAAGACCUUGCGCUAUUGGAGCGGCCGAUGUCAGAUUAGGUUGUUGGUGGGGUAAAAGCCUACCAAGCCGACGAUCUGUAGCUGGUCUGAGAGGACGACCAGCCACACUGGACUGAGACACGGCCCAGACUCCUACGGGAGGCAGCAGUGGGGAAUUUUGGACAAUGGGCGCAAGCCUGAUCCAGCCAUGCCGCGUGCGGGAAGAAGGCCUUCGG